CCUACGGGUGGCAGCAGUCGAGAAUCAUUCACAAUGGGGGAAACCCUGAUGGUGCGACGCCGCGUGGGGGAAUGAAGGUCUUCGGAUUGUAAACCCCUGUCAUGUGGGAGCAAAUUAAAAAGAUAGUACCACAAGAGGAAGAGACGGCUAACUCUGUGCCAGCAGCCGCGGUAAUACAGAGGUCUCAAGCGUGGUUCGGAAUCACUGGGCGUAAAGCGUGCGUAGGCUGUUUCGUAAGUCGUGUGUGAAAGGCGCGGGCUCAACCGGCGGACGGCACAUGAUACUGCGAGACUGGAGUAAGGGAGGGGGGACCGGAAUUCUCGGUGUAGCAGUGAAAUGCGUAGAUAUCGAGAGGAACACUCGUGGCGAAGGCGGGUUCCUGGACAGUAACUGACGCUGAGGCACGAAGGCCAGGGGAGCGAAAGGGAUUAGAUACCCCUGUAGUC
rnacentral:rRNA from 1 species